rnacentral:rRNA from 1 species
CCGUUGCCGGCGACCGGCGCACGGGUGAGUAACACGUAUGCAACCUGCCCGUGGUAGGGGGAUAAGCGGGGGAAACCCCGUCUAAUACCGCGUAACGCGGCCUAGGGACAUCCCAAGGCCGCCAAAGGGAGCAAUCCCGGCCACGGAUGGGCAUGCGGCGCAUUAGCUAGUCGGCGGGGUAACGGCCCACCGAGGCGACGAUGCGUAGGGGUUCUGAGAGGAAGGCCCCCCACACUGGUACUGAGACACGGACCAGACUCCUACGGAAGGCAGCAG